GGAGAGGUGGCAGAGCGGUUGAAUGCGGCGGUCUUGAAAACCGUUGAACCUUCACGGGUUCCGUGAGUUCGAAUCUCACUCUCUCCGCCA
rnacentral:tRNA from 1 species